rnacentral:miRNA from 1 species
ACGUUAUGUUGUCAAAUUGUC